UGGGGAAUAUUGCACAAUGGGCGCAAGCCUGAUGCAGCCAUGCCGCGUGUAUGAAGAAGGCCUUCGGGUUGUAAAGUACUUUCAGCGGGGAGGAAGGUGUUGUGGUUAAUAACCACAGCAAUUGACGUUACCCGCAGAAGAAGCACCGACUAACUCCGUGCCAGCAGCCGCGGUAAUACGGAGGGUGCAAGCGUUAAUCGGAAUUACUGGGCGUAAAGCGCACGCAGGCGGUCUGUCAAGUCGGAUGUGAAAUCCCCGGGCUCAACCUGGGAACUGCAUCCGAAACUGGCAGGCUUGAGUCUUGUAGAGGGGGGUAGAAUUCCAGGUGUAGCGGUGAAAUGCGUAGAGAUCUGGAGGAAUACCGGUGGCGAAGGCGGCCCCCUGGACAAAGACUGACGCUCAGGUGCGAAAGCGUGGGGAGCAAACA
rnacentral:rRNA from 1 species